GUUAUUUAUUUUACAAUUGGUUGAUGAUAAUUCUUGGAAGUAAAAACGGGACUGGAAUUUUACCAAAUGACCAAUCUCUUGAAGAACAAGUUUUUGACCAGGGAACUUGAGGUUGUGAUCGCGUCUUUACUUUCAACCGAUUUUUAUUAUUUGAAAUAGAAAAAAUUAAUGGACCAUUGACUCUUUGUUCUAAAGUGAUAAAAAUGCACGAAGUGCCACAAGUUUAUAUUUAUAAAAAAAAAAUAUGUCACAUGACAAAAACGUAAAGAUAUGAUAAACAUUUGGAUUAUUUAUAAAAUUAAUUUAAACAUACCGCCAUUGUAUAAGGGAGGUUGAAGAAAAAUCAAUAUUAGAAGAAAACCACCCCCAUACGCAUGUACAAAGAUAACUUUGAUAUAAUAACGAUAGGCAUCUGUUACAAUUUUAUUAUUUGUGUGUAUAGAGAAGCGACUGAAAAAAAAAAUUGAUCGAAAUUCCUAUAAUAUAUUCUAUAAAGGGAAAUAGACCCCUCUAUUAAAAAAAAAAAAUGUCUGGAAAUAAGUGUGUCAAGCCUCCCCGGAAAGCUUAUGUGAAAGAACCUCAUGAGAUGACUCACACUGAGAAGCUAAAACUUAUUGAUGAUGAACUUAAUUCUUUUUAUAGAUAUUGUCAACAGGCUGGCUUUACAGAAGAUGAAAUGGAUAUUAUUUGUCAACCAUUGGUUGCUGCAAUGAGAAAAUCAUGGUUACAAUUAUUUUUUCGAGCAACAGUACUUUUAGUAAUUAUUGGUACUUUGGCAUGUUUGAUUGCUCAAAUGGAUUUUCUUGGUACUCAUUUUACAGCUGUUAGCAGACUUCUUUUAAUCAAAGUAUUACCAAUUUGGAAUUGGCAACCACUUUAUUAUGAGAAUUGUAUGAUUAACAAUCCAUUUUACAAUGAUUAUACAGUAACCGAAGAAGAUUGUGUGACAUGUGAAGCAUUGGAGAACAUUGAUCGUUUAUCAGACGUGAGAUAUCGAAAUUUGGUUGAUAAUUAUUUAAAUCGUGAUGCACCGGCAAUUAUAACAGAUGCCAUGAGUUCCUGGCAUGUCAUGAAUACUGAUUAUUUUUGGUUCGACAAUAUUACAAAUCUCUAUUUGGAAAACGAACGUUUAAUGGAGACAGUGCCAUGUUCAUUGACAUCAAAUUUAAGAACAGGAUCAUCAGAUUUAGCAGCAUUUUUACGAAGAGUUCAUUCACCAGGUGUUGCAAAAUGGUUUGUUCAUUGGCAAAAUUGUGAUAUAAAUGCAGUUAAAGUUCUAAGGAAAUAUUAUCAACGACCAUAUUUUCUAUCAAGUACCGUUUCACCAGCACACUUUAAUUGGGUUCUUAUGUCAUCAGAUUAUAAUAGUCCCAAUUAUAAAAAAGUUGAACUUGACUCGGGAUUAAUUGCACUAGCACAAUUAAGAGGAGCCACACAACUUAGGCUAACGCCAAUUAAUCCCUGCAAUAGUUCAUGUCCCGAACUCAUUGCUGAUUUACAUCAAGGCGAAAUGUUAAUUUUUACUAAUUUAAUGUGGAAUUUGGAAUACGCACCAAUGAGAGGUUUGGAUAAUAUAGCAAUUCUCACAGAAACAGUUUGGGAAGAGGACUCAUGAAAUUUAUAAAAAAAAAAAAAAAUACACACACACAAAUCGUUAAUCUUUUAACUUCUUGAUGUAGCCCGUGAAACUUCCAUAUAUUUACCAAAAAAAUGUUUGCUCACGAAUAAAAAAAUGAAUUUGUUUCAAAAAGAACAACAAAGAAUUGAAGAGUGUACGUAUAUUUAUUUGGCGCAUUACAAUUCUCUAGAAAACCGUCGAACAAUGGAUCGGAGGUAAAACUAAAAGACAAACUGAACUUUGUACAUCGGUCAGGUAAAUAUCGAAAUAAAAUUCCUCGCAGUUCCUCGAUUAUCAUACGGCAGUCUUUGCACUUAUCCUAAGAGUUUUCGAAUCACACUGAUUAUUUAAAGCCGAUUUAUUUUUUUUUCUUAAAGAAAAGCAAAGAUCGAACGUCUUUUUAUUUUUUUUGAAACUGACGAGGCGCCGAUCCACCACCCUCAAAAAAAAAAAAGAAAAAAAAAAAAAAAAACAGUUCCCUUCUUUUUUUUCGACGUUAUACAGCCUUUCGAAUAUCGAGGACCUUAAUUAUUAUCUUCUAAAAUCGAUAUAAUAACUGCAAUCGUAUCGAUUAAUUUUCUUUUUAUGCGCAACGGCGCGCCUUAAACGUGCAUUUUUCUUAGCUUUCCUCCUUUUUUUUUUAAUACUUCUUUUUUUUUUUCCUAACAAUUUCUUACACUCUCCUGCGUCGUUUUUAUUUGCUUAAAUACGCAAUUUUCAAUAUUUCUUAAAUUUCUCUCAAUAUAACUUGGUUAAACGCCAUAGAUAUAAUUUCAGCAUAUAAUGUACCAACGUUUUUAUUUUUUUUUAUUCUCUUAUCUUCCUAUUACUCUCGUAAAUCUCUGGCGAAAUAAAAACUAAAGGUAUAUAGAUAUACUUUGUACAAAAUACGAUACAAGUAGCGAUGUAACAACGAUUUGCAAUAAUUAAAUAUAUGUAUACGUAUGUAUAUGUUUAUAUAUAUAUAUAUGUAUAUAUAAUAUUUAUAAUAUAAUAUAUAACAUAUAUUGUAUAUAUAUAUAUUAUUUAUACGUAUAUUUAUAUAUAUAUAUGUAUAUUAUUUAUAAAUCAUUAUUUUAUGCUAUUAUGCGUACACACGUGCAAAUAUUGCACCCACUGUCAUUUUUCUCCUCUCACUUGAUGUACCCGAUUUUUUAUUUUUAUAAUUUAUACAUAUAUAAUUGUAAAUAAAUUUACAAAAAUUAUAUGUAUAAAUUUUUAUCGGGUAUUGACUAAGUUAUUUCAUUGGUCCGUCAAGACCAAUAAAUUUCUUAGUUUUAAUUAAUUUUAUAUACUUCCUAAUUUUUAUAUACGUAUAUAUUCAUUACCAAAAAAAAUUAUCGACUUUUUUUUUUACAAAGUGAUCUUUCAUUCAAUAAUGAGAAAAUACAAUAAUUAACAAUAUUGUGAUAAUUACAGUAUGAAUUUUAAAAAAAUGUAAUAAAUUUAUUCUAUUAAUUUGAUUUUUAAUUAAAAUUAAAUUCUACUUUUUUUUUACAUCCAUCAUUUUGUAUUUGCAUAAAUAAUUUUUUUUUCUAUCUAAUUCAAUUGAAUUGUUAAAAAUUAUUUUUUAAUAAUUAAUUAAUAAUUACAAAAAAAAAAUUUGAAAGCUAUUUCUCAAAUAAUUUCUAACGGUAAUGUAUAUAUUUUUUUCACAUAAUUAUUAAUAAUUUACUAUUAAUAAAUAUUGAUGAAUAUUUAUUAAUGGUAAAUUACUAAAAAAUUUGUCUAAUUAUACACGAUUAUGGUGAACAGCUGACAGAUUCUGGCGGGUGUAUUUCGGCGCAUCGUCAUACGUAUAUACGAUUGCGAUAGCAAGCUAAAGACUUUUUUUUUUUUUUACUUAUUUAUUUAAUUAUUUAUUUAGUUUUUUUGUUUGUUUGUUUGGAAUGCGACAGAAUAUUUUACAACUUACAAUUUUCAAAAUUUGAAAAGUGAUAGUCGAGUGGAUUUCUUAACAUUUUUUUUUCUCCCCUUAUUGUAGCGAAAGUAUCAUUAAUAUUUGAGUAUGUACCACCACGAAAUAAUAAAAAAAAAAAUCCAUUAUUUUCUUUUUUUGUCUCUCCUUUUUGUUUUCUCUGUAUAUAUAUGAAAACAAUUUCUUUACUAAUAAAAUUUAAUUUCUGUAUUUUGAAACAUAUUUAACAUUGUUUUAUUAUAACAAUAUUAUAUUUUUUUAAACUAUUUAAAUUAAAAUGUGAUAGCAAUUUUUCAACAAUAUUCGUUUUUUCUUGAUGAUAUAAUUUUUUUUUUUGGAUAAUUUAUCGUUUUUUGUUCGAUGAUAAUUUCCGUAUAAUUUAUUAUCAUCAAUAUUCGUUUUUUUUUUCUUCAAGCUAUUAUAAUUAUUAUUUGGUUAUUAAUUUAAGAAGUUUUCUAUCAAAUUGCUAAUAUAUUAUUAAUGAUAAUAACAGGUAUAAUAAAUUCGUAUUUAUCAAUAUUUUUAAUCAUUAAAUAUUGAUAAUAACAGCUGUAAUACUUAUGAAAAUGUUUAAAAAUUAAAUUUAUGUACACAUGAACUUAUUAUAAAUGUUAAUUUGUUUUUAUUUUUCUUUUUUUU